CCCUGAGCCCGCACAGCCCCGCCCCUCCCGGCGCCCAAGCCCCGCCCCCGCGGGUUCCCGCUCGCCUGGUGCCAUGGAUCCGCUGUCGCCGCCGCUCUGCACGCUGCCGCCGGGCCCCGAGCCGCCCCGCUUCGUGUGCUACUGCGAAGGGGAGGGAAGCGGGGAGGGGGACCGCGGCGACUUCAACCUCUACGUGACCGACGCCGCGGAGCUUUGGAGCACCUGCUUCACGCCGGACAGCCUGGCGGCCCUCGUGGAAAGCCCGUUUUGGCCUGAGUGCGGCUGAGGACAUCACCCCCCGGUUCAGGGCAGCCUGUGAGCAGCAAGCUGUGGCUCUGACCCUGCAGGAGGACAGAGCAUCCCUGACGCUUUCAGGGGGGCCCUCGGCACUGGCCUUUGACCUCUCCAAGGUACCAGGCCCAGAGGCAGCCCCCAGGCUGCAGGCGCUGACACUGGGCCUGGCAAAACGCGUGUGGAGCCUGGAGCGGCGAUUGGCAGCUGCAGAAGAGACAGCUGCCAGCCCGAGGAAGAGCCCCCGGCCUGCAGGGCCUCAGCUCUUCUUACCAGACCCAGAUCCCCAGAGAGGUGGCCCUGGACCUGGAGUCAGGAGGCGGUGUCCAGGAGAGUCGCUCAUCAACCCCGGGUUCAAGAGUAAGAAACCAGCUGGCGGCGUGGACUUUGAUGAGACCUGAAGGUGCAGCACAAGUGUGGCCCCGCGGGGAGUCCGCCUGUGAGGGGAGAGGCAGUCUCAAGGCCCCCAUCAGAGACCCCCCCCGACACCACCUCCACCUGCCUGUUCUGGGCCAGGACUAAGGCAGCUCCUCAAAUUCCUUCCCUGUCAAAUAAACGGCUCCCUUGGUUGGAGGCUCUGGUGGGGCUCUGACUCCUGGCACUGGCCUGGGAAGGGAUCAGGGCCUGUGCUCUGGGUGUGGGGCCACAGGAUGUGAACAGAUGCUGCAGCCUCUCAGCUCCCUGGAGACUUCCUUGCUGGGCCGGAGGGAGGCCGCACCCAGGCAGGGCACGGAGCCCGGUAGGAGGAUUCGUACAGAAGUCCCGUGCAGACCCUGAGACACUGUGGAAGUGCCCUGCGGGGAGGGGAGCGCCUGCCCCGGGACAGGAUUGAGGAAUGUGCCAGCCCCCAUCCACCUGGGGCACCCCGCCCCACCCCGGCCUGACUGGUUUGGGAGCCCAAUCCGGUCCUGGAGAUCCCUGAGGCCACCAGUUGCAGGAGGCCUGGAGUCUGCGCCUUCUCGGCAUGGGGGACGAGACCCGCCCGACCCUCGGCUCUCCUGCCCCUGUGGUUCUGGG